GUUUCGUAGUGACCUGCGGAGGAUCAUUAUUGAAUUAGCGAGGGCUGUCUGCUGGCCCCUUUCGGGGGGCAUGUGCACGUCCAAGCCGUUUAAAUCAACACCUGUGAACUCACCGUAGGCCUUCGGGCUUAUGUAUCAUAUAUAUAUAUACUCAGAUCAUAGAAUGUACGUUUUGCCUUUAAAAAAAAAAGCAAUCAAAUACAACUUUCAACAACGGAUCUCUUGGCUCUCGCAUCGAUGAAGAACGCAGCGAAAUGCGAUAAGUAAUGUGAAUUGCAGAUUUUCAGUGAAUCAUCGAAUCUUUGAACGCACCUUGCGCUCCUUGGUAUUCCGAGGAGCAUGCCUGUUUGAGUGUCAUUAAAUCCUCAACCCCGUCCGUCGGUCAGGGCUUGGACUUUGGAGCGUGCUGGCGAAGGUCGGCUCCUCUUUAAAUGCAUCAGCGGAGAAAAACAAACCUUUUCCCCCCUUCAGCGUGAUAACUGCGUUGCGCUGUGGUCGCGAAAGGGUCCGCUCAUAAUUGUCCUCGGACAAACACCAAAUCUGUUUUGACCUCAGAUCAGGUAGGACUACCCGCUGAACUUAAGC
rnacentral:rRNA from 1 species